rnacentral:rRNA from 1 species
UAAUACGGAGGGUGCAAGCGUUAUCCGGAUUUACUGGGUUUAAAGGGUGCGUAGGCGGGCCCUUAAGUCAGUGGUGAAAGCUCCGAGCUUAACUCGGAAACUGCCAUUGAUACUAUAGGUCUUGAAUUCGGUCGAGGUUGGCGGAAUGUGUCGUGUAGCGGUGAAAUGCUUAGAUAUGACACAGAACACCGAUUGCGAAGGCAGCUAGCUAGACCGACAUUGACGCUGAGGCACGAAAGCGUGGGGAUCAAACAGGAUUAGAAACCCUGGUAGUCCACGCCCUAAACUAUGAUUACUCGAUGUUGGCGAUACACUGCCAGCGUCUAAGCGAAAGCAUUAAGUAAUCCACCUGGGGAGUACGAUCGCAAGAUUG